GUGUGUGUUUCAAGACAUAGGCUACAUGGGACAACAAAAACAAGGGACCAGGUAGCUGUGCACCCUGAUCACCCAGGGGGCCGUCGCCGACCAGCAGAGAGAGGUGAGCAAGCUCUGGAGGAGUCCAUUUACUCACCUUUUUAUCUUGGGGUAAAGAAAGCAACAGGACUUCCGUGCAGUAGAUUUCUCAGUGCCUUCUUUAGGAGUUUUAUCUUAAGCACACUCAAUGGGGAGAGAAAAAAGAGGAAAGAACAUUCAUUCCCAGAAAGCCCCUUUCUCUCAAGGCAUCGGGGAUCGAGAAGGAAGAAUGUGACGUUGGUGAAACAGCAAAAUCCUGAGGAGGCCAUUUCCUUUCAACCCACCUGGCUCACCCCUGAGAAUUGCUGGUGACACAGACUUUUUCAGACUGAUUACCCAACCUCUCCUCCACCGUGUCUUGGUAUCUGUAAGCCUCAUCCUUGCCCUUUCUCCUAAUAAGAUCCACAUUUCUAAUGAGAAAAAAAAAAAAACAGAACAGUAUUCUCUUCUGUAAAACUGUAAUGUAUUGUUGAUGUUUGUAACUAUUGUAUAUUUCUGUCUUGCUCCAAGUC
rnacentral:lncRNA from 1 species